UACAGAGGGGGCAAGCGUUGUUCGGAAUUACUGGCGUAAAGGGCGCGUAGGCGGCCUUCUAAGUCGAACGUGAAAUCCCCGGGCUCAACCCGGGAACUGCGUCCGAUACUGCCGGGCUAGAAUCCGGAAGAGGCGAGUGGAAUUCCUGGUGUAGCGGUGGAAUGCGCAGAUAUCAGGAGGAACACCAAUAGCGAAGGCAGCUCGCUGGGACGGUAUUGACGCUGAGGCGCGAAAGCGUGGGGAGCAAACAGG
rnacentral:rRNA from 1 species